UCAGUAGGUAAUAGGAGUAUUUGGGAGAAGAGAUCAAGAUUCGAAACUCGGCAGCGGCAAUGUAGGGAUUAUGCUCAAAGUGGGCAAUUACUUGUGCACCGACAUUUGGCCUUGUCUGCUGAGUC